GAUGAACGCUGGCGGCGUGCCUAAUACAUGCAAGUCGAACGAGUUCUCGUUGAUGAUCGGUGCUUGCACCGAGAUUCAACAUGGAACGAGUGGCGGACGGGUGAGUAACACGUGGGUAACCUGCCCUUAAGUGGGGGAUAACAUUUGGAAACAGAUGCUAAUACCGCAUAGAUCCAAGAACCGCAUGGUUCUUGGCUGAAAGAUGGCGUAAGCUAUCGCUUUUGGAUGGACCCGCGGCGUAUUAGCUAGUUGGUGAGGUAAUGGCUCACCAAGGCGAUGAUACGUAGCCGAACUGAGAGGUUGAUCGGCCACAUUGGGACUGAGACACGGCCCAAACUCCUACGGGAGGCAGCAGUAGGGAAUCUUCCACAAUGGACGCAAGUCUGAUGGAGCAACGCCGCGUGAGUGAAGAAGGCUUUCGGGUCGUAAAACUCUGUUGUUGGAGAAGAAUGGUCGGCAGAGUAACUGUUGUCGGCGUGACGGUAUCCAACCAGAAAGCCACGGCUAACUACGUGCCAGCAGCCGCGGUAAUACGUAGGUGGCAAGCGUUAUCCGGAUUUAUUGGGCGUAAAGCGAGCGCAGGCGGUUUUUUAAGUCUGAUGUGAAAGCCCUCGGCUUAACCGAGGAAGCGCAUCGGAAACUGGGAAACUUGAGUGCAGAAGAGGACAGUGGAACUCCAUGUGUAGCGGUGAAAUGCGUAGAUAUAUGGAAGAACACCAGUGGCGAAGGCGGCUGUCUGGUCUGUAACUGACGCUGAGGCUCGAAAGCAUGGGUAGCGAACAGGAUUAGAUACCCUGGUAGUCCAUGCCGUAAACGAUGAAUGCUAGGUGUUGGAGGGUUUCCGCCCUUCAGUGCCGCAGCUAACGCAUUAAGCAUUCCGCCUGGGGAGUACGACCGCAAGGUUGAAACUCAAAGGAAUUGACGGGGGCCCGCACAAGCGGUGGAGCAUGUGGUUUAAUUCGAAGCAACGCGAAGAACCUUACCAGGUCUUGACAUCUUUUGAUCACCUGAGAGAUCAGGUUUCCCCUUCGGGGGCAAAAUGACAGGUGGUGCAUGGUUGUCGUCAGCUCGUGUCGUGAGAUGUUGGGUUAAGUCCCGCAACGAGCGCAACCCUUAUGACUAGUUGCCAGCAUUUAGUUGGGCACUCUAGUAAGACUGCCGGUGACAAACCGGAGGAAGGUGGGGAUGACGUCAAAUCAUCAUGCCCCUUAUGACCUGGGCUACACACGUGCUACAAUGGAUGGUACAACGAGUUGCGAGACCGCGAGGUCAAGCUAAUCUCUUAAAGCCAUUCUCAGUUCGGACUGUAGGCUGCAACUCGCCUACACGAAGUCGGAAUCGCUAGUAAUCGCGGAUCAGCACGCCGCGGUGAAUACGUUCCCGGGCCUUGUACGCACCGCCCGUCACACCAUGAGAGUUUGUAACACCCGAAGCCGGUGGCGUAACCCUUUUAGGGAGCGAGCCGUCUAAGGUGGGACAAAUGAUUAGGGUGAAG
rnacentral:rRNA from 1 species